GAUGAACGCUGGCGGCGUGCCUAAUACAUGCAAGUCGAGCGAACGGACGAGAAGCUUGCUUCUCUGAUGUUAGCGGCGGACGGGUGAGUAACACGUGGAUAACCUACCUAUAAGACUGGGAUAACUUCGGGAAACCGGAGCUAAUACCGGAUAAUAUUUUGAACCGCAUGGUUCAAAAGUGAAAGACGGCCUUGCUGUCACUUAUAGAUGGAUCCGCGCUGCAUUAGCUAGUUGGUAAGGUAACGGCUUACCAAGGCAACGAUGCAUAGCCGACCUGAGAGGGUGAUCGGCCACACUGGAACGGAGACACGGUCCAGACUCCUACGGGAGGCAGCAGUAGGGAAUCUUCCGCAAUGGGCGAAAGCCUGACGGAGCAACGCCGCGUGAGUGAUGAAGGUCUUCGGAUCGUAAAACUCUGUUAUUAGGGAAGAACAUAUGUGUAAGUAACUGUGCACAUCUUGACGGUACCUAAUCAGAAAGCCACGGCUAACUACGUG
rnacentral:rRNA from 1 species